UCAUGCCAACGAAAAGACUAAAAGAAAUAGGUAGAGGGAAUCUGAACCGGAACUGAUGGCUCCUCCGGUGACUUCGAGGGUGAAGACGAAGUUAUAGAGGAGACCCGAGAUAUUUUCAGAUUUAGAAAGAAUAAAACAAAUGAAAACACACUCAAAGCAACAAACGGUUUUAAUAAAAUUGAACAACAGUCUUUGGCGAAGGUAAUCAAAAAAAUAAAGCACGAAUAAGCAUAGCAAAGCAAGUAUGAUUGGAGAGUUCAGAAAGAAUACCAACUCCAAAUAUUUUUGGAGGGCAGCAACAAGGCUUUCCUCUGUUUGGAACAUGUUUUGGAGCAUGAAACAAGAUGGAAAGAGGCAAGGUAGUAGGUUGUAUUGGACUGGUUUUGGUUGUAUGUGGUAGCAAUGGCACGUUUGACAAUUUUGGACAGCAACAUAGUAAUAGGGAAGCAAGACUAUUUUUGACAGGUUUUUUGCCAUGUUGCAGCAUUGCAAUAGCAUAAUUUUGGACUGUAUUGGAUGUGGGGCUGCAUGAACUGGUUUUAUAAAAAAGAUAGAUGAAAUAAUGAAGUAAGGCAAGGCAAGGCAACUUUUAAGAUUGAGCAU